rnacentral:rRNA from 1 species
CAGCAGCCGCGGUAAUACGAAAGGGGCUAGCGUUGUUCGGAAUUACUGGGCGUAAAGGGCGCGUAGGCGGUUUAUCUAGUCAGGCGUGAAAGCCCCGGGCUCAACCUGGGAAUUGCGCUUGAUACUGGUAGACUUGAGUUCGGGAGAGGUGAGUGGAAUUCCCAGUGUAGAGGUGAAAUUCGUAGAUAUUGGGAAGAACACCGGUGGCGAAGGCGGCUCACUGGACCGAUACUGACGCUGAGGCGCGAAAGCGUGGGGAGCAAACAGGAUUAGAUACCCGCGUAGUCCCUGUCUCUUAUAC